ensembl:lncRNA
GUGCCUGCAUAUUUGGCAGGAAUUGAAACCAGUUCAGGUCAGUGUCUGUUUCUGUCCAAAGAAGAGUUUCUGCAUUUACACUGGGCUAGGAAAACAACACAGGAAGACCUGGGGAACAACAAGUAAUACUGUCAGCUCCAGUGCCGGGCUGGCCAGAGGAGAAUGUGGAGAACAAGUCUGGAAUCACGGCUUAAGCUCCAGAUGGCAUCUACCUGGAGCCUGCGGCCACCACCAUAGACUCCUUGCGAUUGUUGCGUCGGCAUGUCUGUCAUCAAUGGUUCCUGAGACGUAAUCCUCUCAGAAAUGUAGUCGACAUUCUUGUUUGCUUUAGAGUAGAAAAUCCUCUAAUUCGAAAAAGUGCAUGAUCUCAAUGUUCAUAGCCAUGCUAUUUACAUUAGCCAAGACAUGGAAGCUACUAAGUGUCUGCCAACAAAGGAACGGAUAAAAAAGUUGUGGUAUAUAUAUAUAGAUAUAGAUAUAGAUGUAGAUAUAUACACAAUGGAAUAUUACUCAGCCAUAAAAAUGAAUGAAAUAAUUCUGUUUGAACCAACGUGGAUGGAUCUAGAGGUUAUUAUACUAAGUGAAGUGAGUCAGAUAGAGAAAGACAAAUAUUAUAUGAUAUCAAUUCUUCAGCACUCAGCUUUCUUUAUAGAGCAACUCUCACAUCCAUACAUGACUACUGGGAAAACCAUAGCCUUGACUAGACGGACUUUGUUGGCCAAGUAAUGUUUCUGCUUUUUAAUAUGCUGUCUGGGUUGGUCACAACUUUCCCUCCAAGGAGUAAGCGUCUUUUAAUUUCAUGGCUGCAACCACCAUCUGCAGUGAUUUUGGAGCCCCCCAAAAUAAAGUCUCUCACUGUUUCCACAUGUAUUUGCCUUGAAGUGAUGGGACCAGAUGCCAUGAUCUUCGUUUUUUGAAUGUUGAGCUUUAAGCCAACUUUUCACUCUCCUCUUUCACUUUCAUUGAGAGGCUCUUUAGUUCCUCUUCACAUUCUGCCAUAAGGGUGGUGUCAUCUGCAUAUCUGAGAUUAUUGAUAUUUCCCCUGGCAAUCUUGAUUCCAGCUUGUACUUCCUCCAGCCCAGUGUUUCUUAUGAUGUACUCUGCAUAUAAUUAAAUAAGCCAGGUGACAAUAUAUAGCCUUGAUUUACUCCUUUGCCUAUUUGGAACCAGUCUGUUGUUCCAGUUCUAACUGUUGCUUCCUGACCUGCAUACAGAUUUCUCAAGAGGCAGGUCAGGUGGUCUGGUAUUCCCAUCUCUUUCAGAAUUUUCCACAGUUUGUUGUGAUCCACACAGUCAAAGGCUUUGGCAUAGUCAAUAAAGCAGAAAUAGAUGUUUUUCUGGAACUCUUUUGUCCAGAUCUCUGGUUCCUCUGUCUUUUCUAAAACCAGUUUAAACAUCUGGAAGUUCACAGUUCACAUAUUGUUGAAGCCUGGCUUGGAGAACUUUGAGCAUUACUUUACUAGCGUGUGAGAUGAGUGCAAUUGUGUGGUAGUUUGAGCAUUCUUUGGCAUUGCCUUUCUUUGGGAUUGGAAUGAAAACUGACCUUUUCCAGUCCUGUGGCCUCUGCUGAGUUUUCCAAAUUUGCUGGCAUAUUGAGAAGUAUAUGAUUAGGACUAAAUGUCUGUUUGGAGACAGGAGGCAGCUGCACUACCUGACCAUCGCCUCUGAAUUACUCAGUGCAUGCAACUACUUUUUUCCUUAUUCUCCACAAUUACCAAAAAAAAAAAAAAAAGAAAUUGCCAAGGUCACCCUUUUGCCUUCUUUCUCCUGAAUUCACUCUUCUCUUUUUUAGGCUGAUUUUGAAGCAUAUUUGCUACACUUUCUGUCCAGCAACGAGAAAGGGAAAACUGGAUAACAAAGAGUAAUACUCUUCAUUCAGUGCUGCUGGGUCUAGUCUUUUGUAAAAAAUGUAUUACAGCCAUUCACCUAAUGGGUGAAGCAUUUGUAAAUCAAGGCCCAAAAUGCCCGAUUUAGAAUGUUUUAACAUUUUCACACUUAUUUUUUAAAAUGAAUGUUGACUUUGGAGAGAGUAGAUAAUAUUGCUAGUGUUUCCUAGUAAUGAGGGAAGGUCCUAUAACGGUCCCUGACUGCUUCUCUCAGAGAGGACGCCUACUUGGGGCUGGUACACCAGCUAAGUCCAGCUUCCCAUUUCCUUGUGCAACUUGUGCAUGUAUCAGUCGUUCAGUUGUGUCUCACUCUGUGUGACCCCAUGGACUGUAGCCCUCCAGGCUCCUCUGUCCAUGGGAUUCUCCAGUCAAGAAUACUGGAGUGGGUUGCCAUUUCCUCCUCUAAAGGAUCUUCCCAACCCAGGGAUCGAACCCAUGUCUCCUGCAUUGCAGGCAGAUUCUUUACCAUCUGAGCCGCAAACUUGAACAACACUCAAAAAAUGACUGCAAAGGCCCUCCACUUUUUCUGUUUCGUUUUGCCUUGUUUUUAAUCAUCUAAUUAAAGAACUCUGGGUACAUAUUAACUUCUCUCCCUCCACACCACUCCCCCCCCUCCCCCGCCCCAACCCAAGUGUUUUUCUGCCAGGAACUGGGCGCCACAGUGCUUUGAUGGAUUUCCUAUUUUGAUAGUAAAAUCCUUGUUUUCCUUACAAAACAGGAUUUUUCUCUGCUUCUAACACUACUCUAAUCUUGCCUUUCUGACUACCCAGUGCCUGCAUCCCUUCCCUCCACGUUUCAGGAAGGAGCAGUUAAGCAAUCCUGUCCUAUUUCUUCUGAACGUGGCAAACAGAGUGGCAUUAAGAGCUGUUAUGUUGAAUCAUGACAUAGACAUGUUUUCGAACACCAUCCAGACCAUUUUGGAUUAAGGCAGGAAGGCUGAUUCUGAUCCACUGUUGAACUCAACCCAAGAAAGACAGA